rnacentral:rRNA from 1 species
AGAGUUUGAUCAUGGCUCAGGAUGAACGCUGGCGGCGUGCUUAACACAUGCAAGUCGAACGAUUAAAGCCCUCUUCGGAGGGUGUAUAGAGUGGCGAACGGGUGAGUAUCACGUGGGGAACCUACCCCUCCCUCUGGGAUAACUCCGGGAAACCGGAGCUAAUACCGGAUACUCCUUUUGGGUCGCAUGGCCUGAUUGGGAAAGCUCCGGCGGAGAGGGAUGGUCCCGCGGCCCAUUAGCUUGUUGGUAGGGUAAUGGCCUACCAAGGCUACGAUGGUUAGCUGGUCUGAGAGGAUGAUCAGCCACACUGGAACUGAGACACGGUCCAGACUCCUACGGGAGGCAGCAGUGGGGAAUUUUGCGCAAUGGGGGAAACCCUGACGCAGCAACGCCGCGUGAGUGAUGAAGGCCUUCGGGUCGUAAAGCUCUGUCAGAGGGGAAGAAAUGGAACUGGCUAAUAUCCAGUUUUCUUGACGGUACCCUCAAAGGAAGCACCGGCUAACUCCGUGCCAGCAGCCGCGGUAAUACGGAGGGUGCAAGCGUUGUUCGGAUUUAUUGGGCGUAAAGCGCGUGUAGGCGGUCUCUUAAGUCUGAUGUGAAAGCCCUGGGCUCAACCCAGGAAGUGCAUUGGAUACUGGGAGACUUGAAUACGGGAGAGGGUAGUGGAAUUCCUAGUGUAGGAGUGAAAUCCGUAGAUAUUAGGAGGAACACCGGUGGCGAAGGCGGCUACCUGGACCGAUAUUGACGCUGAGACGCGAAAGCGUGGGGAGCAAACAGGAUUAGAUACCCUGGUAGUCCACGCCGUAAACGAUGAGAACUAGGUGUUGCGGGUAUUGACCCCUGCAGUGCCGCAGCUAACGCAUUAAGUUCUCCGCCUGGGAAGUACGGUCGCAAGACUAAAACUCAAAUGAAUUGACGAUCUCUAGAGGAUCCCCGGGUACCGAGCUCGAAUUCGUAAUCAUGGUCAUAGCUGUUUCCUGUGUGAAAUUGUUAUCCGCUCACAAUU